rnacentral:rRNA from 1 species
AGCGAACGCUGGCGGCAGGCCUAACACAUGCAAGUCGAACGAAGUCUUCGGACUUAGUGGCGGACGGGUGAGUAACACGUGGGAACGUGCCUUUAGGUUCGGAAUAACUCAGGGAAACUUGUGCUAAUACCGAAUGUGCCCUUCGGGGGAAAGAUUUAUCGCCUUUAGAGCGGCCCGCGUCUGAUUAGCUAGUUGGUGCGAUAAAGGCUCACCAAGGCGACGAUCAGUAGCUGGUCUGAGAGGAUCAUCAGCCACAUUGGGACUGAGACACGGCCCAAACUCCGACGGGAGGCAGCAGUGGGGAAUCUUGCGCAAUGGGCGAAAGCCUGAGGCAGCCAUGCCGCGUGAAUGAUGAAGGUCUUAGGAUUGUAAAAUUCUUUCACCGGGGACGAUAAUGACGGUACCCGGAGAAGAAGCCCCGGCUAACAUCGUGCCAGCCGCCGCAGUAACAC